ACUCCUCACAAUAACCGUAUCCCAUUCAGAGACACCACAGCUCUCUGUGAGGGAUAAAUAAGAUUUAGCUGGCAGAGCUAGAUAAUGAUCCACUCAGCAUGAGAGCUCAGUGCUCCUCAUCUCCAUCUCAUCUCCUGCCUCUCUCACUGUGCUGCUGUGACGUCAGUAUUGUACUUCACUAAUGAAGAGGACUUCAGUAAAGAUCUAUACUAGAACAUUCUCACAACAGGCAUAUUCUUGCUCUAGGGGGGGUUUUCAUAUCAAAGCACAGAUAAACGGAUAAAUCCAAGUGUGUGUGUGACUAACUGUGUGUGUGAGAUUCAAAGAGCUGAGCAGGCAGCCUAUGUCUUUGGUGUACUAUUGCUUUCAUUUAAGCCCGGGAGAGAGAAGCUAGCCUGCCCGGGAGAGAGAAGCUAGCCUGCCCGGGAGAGAGAAGCUAGCCUGCCCGGGAGAGAGAAGAUAGCCUGCCCCCCUGAGGCAUGUGACAACACAAUGGUUUAAUGAUCUGUGUCUGUUCUGCUGCUGCUAGUUUGUGAGACUGCUGCAGCACAGAGUGCUGAAUACAGGCAGUCAAGCUGGCCUGGCCAGUAGAAAUACACUGUAAGUCAGUGUUUCUCAGAGUGCUGAAUACAGGCAGGCAGCAGAUUCUCUGGCCUGGCCAGGAGAAAUACACUGUAAGUCAGUGUUUCUCAGAGUGCUGAAUACAGGCAGUUCAGCAAGCAGCAGAUUCUCUGGCCUGGCCAGGAGAAAUACACUGUAAGUCAGUGUUUCUCAGAGUGCUGAAUACAGGCAGGCAGCAAGCAGCAGAUUCUCUGGCCUGGCCAGUAGAAAUACACUGUAAGUCAGUGUUUCUCAGAGUGCUGAAUACAGGCAGGCAGCAGAUUCUCUGGCCUGGCCAGGAGAGAUACAUUAUGUCAGUGUUUCUCAGAGUGCUGAAUACAGGCAGGCAGCAGAUUCUCUGGCCUGGCCAGGAGAGAUACAUUAUGUCAGUGUUUCUCAGCCUGUUCCUCUGGGAGUGGGAGAUCCCUAGUUGUUCCACCACUAGUCAACUAGCCCAAUGCUCAAGCCCUUGACUAGUUGUGUGACGUGAGCUAGCUAGGUCAAAAAUGUGGAGCGGCAGGAUGUUUCCAAGGAACACAGAUGAAAUGGAGAAACCCACUGCUACAUAGACCUAACAGGAAUGUGGUGGUCGCCCCAGCAGUGCUGUCCCAUCCAGUCACGUAGACCUGAGUUGAGGAGAAACACCCUGAAAGUGAUCUGUAAGGCAAGCCUUCCUGGCCUGCUGGGGCCUCAGUCAGUGGAAUGGCAGAAGUGUGCUUUACUGCCUUCCUUGGAGAUGACCUGAGGUCAGGUCUAACUGUAGCGGAUGAACAGAGGUCAGGUCCAACUGUAGCGGAUGAACAGAGAGUCAGGUCUAACUGUAGCGGAUGAACAGAGGUCAGGUCUAACUGGAGCGGAUGAACAGAGGUCAGGUCCAACUGUAGCGGAUGAACAGAGGUCAGGUCCAACUGUAGCGGAUGAACAGAGGGUCAGGUCUAACUGUAGCGGAUGAACAGAGGUCAGGUCUAACUGUAGCGGAUGAACAGAGGUCAGGUCCAACUGGAGCGGAUGAACAGAGGUCAGGUCUAACUGGAGCGGAUGAACAGACAUGGUUGGAUUUCCUGUUCAGACUACUGGUUGUUUCCUUGUCUUCUGCACCUGUUUUGGUCAAUAGUGAACAUACUCUCCCCCCCCCCACACACUCACACACACACACACUCCCCCACACACACACACUCCCCCACCACACACACAGCGUUAAUCCCUGGCUUCUGAUCUGCGUGUAGUCUUUCAUGUAAAGCCAGCCCUGUGAUGCCUGGUAACCCGAUACAGCCGCUAUUGAUGGUGAUGCUGUUGAUAUUCAGGAGAGGAGAGCAGCCUGCCAUGUUGCUCUCCCUGGUUGGUCCUGGGAUGCUGCUGUGUGGUCUGGGCUGAUAGGUGGAAGGCCCAUUAUCAAAAAUAUUGUUUGGCUUUGGAUGAUUUAAACAGUCUGGGCCUGGGCUAUAGGGCCUGGGCUAUAGGGCCUGGGCUAUAGGGCCUGGGCUAUAGGGCCUGGG
rnacentral:lncRNA from 1 species